rnacentral:rRNA from 1 species
GAUGAACGCUGGCGGCGUGCCUAAUACAUGCAAGUCGAGCGAACAGACGAGGAGCUUGCUCCUCUGACGUUAGCGGCGGACGGGUGAGUAACACGUGGAUAACCUACCUAUAAGACUGGGAUAACUUCGGGAAACCGGAGCUAAUACCGGAUAACAUGUUGAACCGCAUGGUUCAACAGUGAAAGACGGUCUUGCUGUCACUUAUAGAUGGAUCCGCGCCGCAUUAGCUAGUUGGUAAGGUAACGGCUUACCAAGGCAACGAUGCGUAGCCGACCUGAGAGGGUGAUCGGCCACACUGGAACUGAGGCACGGUCCAGACUCCUACGGGAGGCAGCAGUAGGGAAUCUUCCACAAUGGGCGAAAGCCUGACGGAGCAACGCCGCGUGAGUGAAGAAGGUCUUCGGAUCGUAAAACUCUUUUAUUAGGGAAGAACAAAUGUGUAAGUAACUAUGCACGUCUUGACGGUACCUAAUCAGAAAGCCACGGCUAACUACGUG